UCCUACGGGGGGCAGCAGUGAGGAAUAUUGGUCAAUGGGCGGGAGCCUGAACCAGCCAAGUCGCGUGAAGGAAGAAGGUACUUAGUAUUGUAAACUUCUUUUGUCGGGGAACAAAGGCGGAGACGCGUCUCCGGAUGAGUGUACCCGAAGAAAAAGCAUCGGCUAACUCCGUGCCAGCAGCCGCGGUAAUACGGAGGAUGCGAGCGUUAUCCGGAUUUAUUGGGUUUAAAGGGUGCGCAGGCGGAAUGUCAAGUCAGCGGUAAAAUUUCGGGGCUCAACCCCGUCGUGCCGUUGAAACUGGCGUU
rnacentral:rRNA from 1 species